rnacentral:rRNA from 1 species
CCUACGGGAGGCAGCAGUGGGGAAUAUUGGGCAAUGGAGGAAACUCUGACCCAGCGACGCCGCGUGCGGGAUGAAGGCCUUCGGGUUGUAAACCGCUUUCAGUAGGGAAGAAGCGAAAGUGACGGUACCUACAGAAGAAGCACCGGCUAACUAUGUGCCAGCAGCCGCGGUAAUACAUAGGGUGCAAGCGUUGUCCGGAAUUAUUGGGCGUAAAGAGCUCGUAGGUGGUUCGUCACGUCGGAUGUGAAAAUCUGGGGCUCAACCCCAGACCUGCAUUCGAUACGGGCGAUCUAGAGUGUGGUAGGGGAGACUGGAAUUCCUGGUGUAGCGGUGGAAUGCGCAGAUAUCAGGAGGAACACCAAUGGCGAAGGCAGGUCUCUGGGCCAUUACUGACACUGAGGAGCGAAAGCGUGGGGAGCGAACAGGAUUAGAUACCCUGGUAGUCCACGCCGUAAACCGGUGGGCACUAGUUGUGGGAACCUUCCACGGUUUCUGCGACGCAGCUAACGCAUUAAGUGCCCCGCCUGGGGAGUACGAUCGCAAGAUUAAAACUCAAAGGAUUGACGG